ACGGGUGCGGAACACGUACGCAACCUUCCUUCAAGCGGGGAAUAGCCCAGAGAAAUUUGGAUUAAUACCCCAUAAGAAUGUGACCUGGCAUCAGGUAGCAUUUAAAGAUUCAUCACUUGAAGAUGGGCGUGCGUCUGAUUAGGUAGUUGGUGAGGUAACGGCUCACCAAGCCGACGAUCAGUAACUGGCGUGAGAGCGCGACCAGUCACACGGGCACUGAGACACGGGCCCGACUCCUACGGGAGGCAGCAGUAAGGAAUAUUGGUCAAUGGACGCAAGUCUGAACCAGCCAUGCCGCGUGGAGGAUGAAGGCCCUCUGGGUUGUAAACUUCUUUUAUUUGGGACGAAACACUUCAUUUCUAUGGAGCUUGACGGUACCAGAUGAAUAAGCACCGGCUAACUCCGUGCCAGCAGCCGCGGUAAUACGGAGGGUGUAAGCGUUAUCCGGAUUCACUGGGUUUAAAGGGUGCGUAGGCGGACCUGUAAGUCCGUGGUGAAAUCUCCAAGCUUAACUUGGAAACUGCCAUGGAUACUAUAUGUCUUGAAUGUUGUGGAGGUUAGCGGAAUAUGUCAUGUAGCGGU
rnacentral:rRNA from 1 species